rnacentral:rRNA from 1 species
GAGGAAAGAACUAAAUCAAGCACAAAAAAGCAAAGAUAAACCCUUAUACCUUCUGCAUAAUGUAUUAAGUAGAAAUACCUUUACAUAGAGAACCAAAGCCAAGUCCCCCGAAACCACACGAGCUACCCAAGAACAGCUGAAAGAGCACACCCACUUCUGUGGCAAAACGGGGGAAGACUCAUGAGCAGCAGUGGUAAGCCUACCAAGCAUGGUGAUAGCCGGUUAUCCAAGAUAGAAUCUUAGUUCAACUUUAAACUUACUCACAGAAUUACUUAAUCUCCCUGUAAGUUUAACUGUUAGUCUAAAGAGGGGCUGCUCUUUAGACUCUAGGAAACAACCUUCCUACGGCGAGUAAAAAAUAUUACCACCAUAGUUGGCCCAAAAGCGGCCACCAAUUAAGAAAGUGUUCAAGCUCAACAUCUGACCACCCUAAAUCCUACUCACAAUACUGAACUCCUGGAUUGGAUGUUAGUCACAUUGGACUAAUCUAUUACUCAAUAGAAGCAAGAAUGUUAAUAUAAGUAACAUGAAGAGAUUCUCCUCUGCAUAAGCUUACAUCAGACUGGAAUAAUACACUGACAGCCUAAUAUUAAUAAAUGAUUUAAUAAAUACCUUAUUUAUCCUCUUAAUCCAACACAGGUAUGCUCUAAGGAAAGAUUACAAAGAGUAAAAGGAACUCAGCAAAUCUUCCAUCGCCUGUUUACCAAAAAUAUCACCUAUAGCAUUACCAGUAUUAGAGGCACUGCCUGCCCAGUGACAUAUGUUCAAUGGCCACAGUAUCCUGACCGUGCAAAGACAGCAUAAUCACUUGUUCUUUAAUUAGGGACUUGUAUGAAUGGCCACAUGAGGGUUCAUCUCUCUCUUACUUUUUAUCAGUGAAAUUGACCUAUCCGUGAAGAGGCAGAUACACACAAAUAAGAUGAGAAGACCCUAUGGAGCUUAAAUUUAUUAAGCAAACAAAAACUCAAAAUAAGCCUAGAGGCGAUAAUCUACUAUCCCUGAAUUAAAAAUUUUGGUUGGAGUGACCUCGGAGCAUAAUUCGACCUCCGAACAACCUAAACUAACACCACACCAGUCUAUGCGAACUAACGUAUAUUGACCCAAUAAGUUAAUCAAUGGAAUAAGUUACCUUAGGGAUAACAGCGCAAUCCUAUUCUAGAGUCCAUAUUGACAACAGGGUUUUCAACUUCGAUGUUGGAUCAGGACAUCCUAAUGGUGUAGCCGCUAUUAAGAGUUCAUUUGAUUAAAGUCCUACAUGAUGUGAGUUCAGACUGGAGUGAGCCAGGUCGGUUUAUAUCUAUUUAACAUUUCUCCU